rnacentral:rRNA from 1 species
UUUUGCAAAUAGGAUUUUGAAGUUCUAUUAAAUUACUUAAUAAACUGCACUUAAUUGUGUAGUUAUGUAUUUUAAUUGCUUCAGUCGUUACUUUGAGGAAAUUAGUGUGUUCCAAGCGUGCUUUAUGCCACGAAUAUAUUAGCAUGGAAUGACAACAUAGGUAUGCAUCUAUUUUAUUGGUUAAUUUAUGUAUACAUAUGGUUAAUAGGAACAAUUGGGGGCAUUCGUACUUAACCGUCAGAGGUGAAAUUCUUAGAUUUGUUAAAGACGAACUACUGCGAAAGCAUUUACCAAGGAUGUUUUUGUUGAUCAAGAACGAAAGUUAAGGGAUCGAAGACGAUCAGAUACCGUCCUAGUCUUAACCAUAAACUAUGCCGACUAGAGAUUGGAGGCCGUUUAAUCAUAUGACUCUUUCAGCACCUUAUGAGAAAUCAAAGUCUUUGGGUUCCGGGGGGAGUAUGGUCGCAAGGCUGAAACUUAAAGGAAUUGACGGAAGGGCACCACCUUUGGGUUCCGGGGGGAGUAUGGUCGCAAGGCUGAAACUUAAAGGAAUUGACGGAAGGGCACCACCAGGAGUGGAGCCUGCGGCUCAAUUUGACUCAACACGGGAAAACUUACCAGUCCAGA